rnacentral:rRNA from 1 species
UGAGGAAUAUUGGUCAAUGGGGGGAACCCUGAACCAGCCAUCCCGCGUGCAGGAAGACAGUUCUAUGGAUUGUAAACUGCUUUUCUUGGGGAAGAAUAAUGACGACGUGUCGUCAGAUGACGGUACCCGAGGAAUAAGCAUCGGCUAACUCCGUGCCAGCAGCCGCGGUAAUACGGAGGAUGCAAGCGUUAUCCGGAUUUAUUAGGUUUAAAGGGUGUGUAGGCGGAUGUAUAAGUCAGUGGUGAAAGCCAGCAGCUUAACUGUAGAAUUGCCAUUGAUACUGUAUGUCUUGAGUGUGGUUGAGGUAUGCGGAAUGUGUAAUGUAGCGGUGAAAUGCAUAGAUAUUACACAGAACACCGAUUGCGAAGGCAGCAUGCUAAGCCACAACUGACGCUGAUGCACGAAAGCGUGGGGAUCAAACAG